AAUAGUUUUUAUAGGUUAUUUAACUCCAUUUUGGGUAUAUUAAAGAAAAUUUUACAACUUUUUUGAUGUGUUGUUAUUGGUGAUGCAUUAUGGGAAGUAGUUUUAAUAACUUUAGUUUAUAUUAAAAAGGGAUUAAUAAUACGAGGAGCUUCUUUGGAUAGCAGGCAAGAUUUAAAUCAUUGUGGAUAAUAUUAUAGUUAGUAUGAAGGUUUUUUUAGAUAUAUUUUCGACGAGAAUAAAAACAAAAUUGGUUUUAAGAAGAUUUUACUAGAAAUAAAGUUUUUCUUAUUGAUAUUAACAAUUAAAAAAGUGAUGUCUUUGUUGUUGUUAUGUGUGAUGUAAUAAAUAUUGUUUCAGUCCA